AGCCAAGAAAACAGGAAGCAGUGGUGGCAGGAUGUGCCAGGAACCCCUCCUGCUUUGGCAAUAGAACGUGCCUGCAGUGGCUCAUUGUCUGCCGGUAAAGGAGAAACUGUAAUGAUGAUAAAUCCACAGCUUCCUAAAGAAGAUGAGGAAGAGGGAGAAAUAGCUGCGGGCAUCACAGUGGGUGAUGAACGACUGCAACGGGGUUCGGAUGGGGAUGUUACAAAGUUUGAAGAAUCCGAGGAUGAGCUGAGAAGUGAAAUAAUAGAAUCCCUAGAAAAGCUCUCAGCUUCCACAGAAGGAAGAGAAUGGGAUCCUAGCUCCUCUAAGAAUGCCGAGAAGCCUGCAUAGAAAGAAAAGACAAACUCGCCACUCCGGAAGCUCCAGUGAAGGUCUGGAAGCACCCUUUGGCCUGUUUAAUCUGCAUUGCUAAGACCAAGGUUCACCAAAUGCCAGUCUAAGUGUGCAAGUGUGAACAAUCUGUUCCCCAUUGAUGGGAGUCUGUGUCCUUAAAGGAAAAUUCACUAUCUUCCUGAUUUUACACACUCUGUCCUGACGAGCUCUUGAAGGACAGCUCUGAUGAGGACUGUUUUUAGCUUUACGUCCAUCUAUUAAACUGAAACUAU
rnacentral:lncRNA from 1 species